AGCCCCGCAGUGCAUACAUUGGAUUGCAAACCCAACAAGGUACCAAACGGUGCCGGGGCUU
rnacentral:tRNA from 1 species